rnacentral:rRNA from 1 species
ACGUAGGUGGCAAGCGUUGUCCGGAAUUACUGGGUGUAAAGGGAGCGUAGGCGGGAAUGCAAGUUGAAUGUUUAAACUAUCGGCUCAACUGAUAAUCGCGUUCAAAACUGCAUUUCUUGAGUGGAGUAGAGGCAGGCGGAAUUCCUAGUGUAGCGGUGAAAUGCGUAGAUAUUAGGAGGAACACCAGUGGCGAAGGCGGCCUGCUGGGCUCUAACUGACGCUGAGGCUCGAAAGCGUGGGUAGCAAACAG